rnacentral:rRNA from 1 species
AGUGAACGCUGGCGGUAUGCCUAACACAUGCAAGUCGAACGGCAGCACAGUAAGAGCUUGCUCUUACGGGUGGCGAGUGGCGGACGGGUGAGGAAUACAUCGGAAUCUACUUUUUCGUGGGGGAUAACGUAGGGAAACUUACGCUAAUACCGCAUAUGACCUACGGGUGAAAGCAGGGGAGCUUCGGACCUUGCGCGAUUGAAUGAGCCGAUGUCGGAUUAGCUAGUUGGCGGGGUAAAGGCCCACCAAGGCGACGAUCCGUAGCUGGUCUGAGAGGAUGAUCAGCCACACUGGAACUGAGACACGGUCCAGACUCCUACGGGAGGCAGCAGUGGGGAAUAUUGGACAAUGGGCGCAAGCCUGAUCCAGCCAUACCGCGUGGGUGAAGAAGGCCUUCGGGUUGUAAAGCCCUUUUGUUGGGAAAGAAAAGCAGCAGGUUAAUACCCCGCUGUUCUGACGGUACCCAAAGAAUAAGCACCGGCUAACUUCGUG